rnacentral:misc_RNA from 1 species
GACCAGGCUUGCAAAUUGUUUGAUCGUAUUCAUGCACUCUCAAGUUCGUCCAAGUUUUCCCAUCAAGAGAACCCUGAAAAUUCCAAGAUCUUAUGUAGGCUCUUGAUCCAUCUUGUCAUAGUAGUUGCACACGAGCUGGUGAUCUUGACCAAGAUCAAUCAUCCACCAUACACAUUUAUUCCCAUCUUCCAUCCGAGGCCCAGCAAUACAUGUUCCCUGGUAAGUUCUUGAUACCA